rnacentral:miRNA from 1 species
UUGGUUUGAAGGGAGCUCCCU